GCUGAUAAAGAUGGCAAGCUGGGCGGGGGCUGACUAUGAAGACCCCUGCAGGCCCUACAGGGUGUGUGCCCAAGGGCAAUGUCCAGUCACUGAUGGCUUUUAAUGUAGUUGUAGUAGGGUGGAGAGCAGUGGACUGGUCUGAACUAUCAGUGAGGUGUCAUGGAUAGGGCUUUUAGUGAUGGGUAGGGACAGAAAAUGAGAAAAGUCAGAGAAACAUUGACGACCACUAUGGCUGCCACAGCAGCUCCAUUGCCCGAGCACUCACACGUGCCAGGCACUCUGCCCAACCUUUCCAUGCAUCAUUCCAUUUCAUCCUCACAACAAUCUGACUUAGGUUCUGUUAUUCUCAUUUUAUGGAUGAAGAAACUGAGGCUUAGAAGUUAAGUGAUUUGCCCAAGGUCAUACAGUAAGUGUCGCAGAGCCAAGCAUCAAACUGAGAUCCAGUUCCAGGCACGCUGCUCUGGGUUGCUAUGAUGCACUCCUCAGGCCGGCGCCCAGGGCUCCAGCUCAGGCAAUGGGGUGGGAGGCAGUGCCACUGACUAGACAGGCCUCUUUGGAGAAAGACUACAAGCUGAACUUUGGAUGUGCAGAGUCUGAGAUGCCUGUGGGAUGUGCACAACAAGGAGGUGCCCAGUAGCAACUGAAGAUGUGGAUGUGCAGGGCAGGGAGGAAACACUAUCUGGCUGUUUCUAGAUGGCAUCUCUCUUUCCCAAGGAGAUGUCCCUAUGAAGGAGGGUCAAGUGGAGGAAGAGGAACUCAAAGGAACAGAAAGGACAUCAGAGAGGAAGAUGUCUCACUGGAACCUUCGAGUCAACAUGCCUCAACUGAAUUCACUGUCUUCUGCAAAUCCAUCCUGGCUCAGUGAAAGGCACCACCAUCUUGCUGGUCAUCAAGCAAACACCUGGGAGACAUCCCUGCCUCCAUCUCCCUCUCCUGCCAUCAGAUCAAUGGCCCAACACUUCGGCUUCCUCUGAAAAUCCCUCUCUUCUUCUCUGGCCCCACCAUUAGUUAUCUCUCCCUUGGCCUGCAUUUCCUGCCUGAGGCAUCGAACUUGACGUCUUCCUGCCUGGAACCCUCCAAGCUACCUUCCAUUUGGUCACGCUAUAAUCUUAGGAUGCAGGUGUGACCAAGUGCAUUCUGUGAUUAAAACCCUCAGUGACUUCUCUCACCCGUAGGAUAAAGCCAAAGCUCUUCCGCAGGGCCUCGGAGGCCCUCCCUCAACAACACUGUCCAUCCCGCCUCUCUUCUGCUCAGUUUUGGCUGUCAAGCUCCUGUGGAAUGUGCCGUGCCCGCUGCCAGGAGAGCCCUCCUGAGGAGUCUGUACUCACAGUCAGCCUCUCGUAAAGCCAUUUCCAGGCAGGAUGGGGGACUUCCCUCAUCCCAGUACUUGUCACAUGCUAAUAUGCUUGUCCAGUUUUGUGUCAGUCUCCCCACUGGACUCAGCUUCUCCUGGGUGAAAACUUAACUGUGUCACACUUUGGCUGCCAGUAUUUGUAGAAGUGUCUGCUGAACGAAUAAAUGACUGACUGAAGCAAGUCCUCGGCUUGGAGGAAUCCAGCAA